rnacentral:rRNA from 1 species
GACUCUGGCUGGUGGAUUACUUGGCCCGUGUGUCUACUAAGAAUGCAGCUAACUGUAGGAGUUAUCAUGAAUGGCAGGACACAUUGAUCACUGACAGACUCCCUUGUGGACCUGGUUCAUCUUGGGUUUAUGCCUGUAUGAGUGUCG